rnacentral:rRNA from 1 species
GACGAACGCUGGCGGCGUGCUUAACACAUGCAAGUCGAACGCAGUGGCGAACGGGUGAGUAACGCGUAAACAACCUGCCCUUCAGCGGGUGACAACAGUUGGAAACGACUGCUAAUACCGUAUACUGAAGGAGGGGAUUGCGUCUGAUUAGCUAGUUGGAGGGGUAACGGCCCACCAAGGCGAUGAUAGGUAGCCGGUCUGAGGGGAGGAACCGCCACAUUGGGACUGAGACACGGCCCAGACUCCUACGGGAGGAAGCAGUGGGGAAUCUUCCGCAAUGGACGGAAGUCUGACGGGGCAACGCCGGGGGAGUGAUGACGGCCUUCGGGUUGUAAAGCUCUGUUAAUCGGGACGCGGUACCGGAAUAGAAAGCCACGGCUAACUACGUGCCAGCAGCCGCGGUAAUAC